AUCUGGCUCAGAUUGAACGCUGGCGGCAGGCCUAACACAUGCAAGUCGAACGGUAACAGGAAGAAGCUUGCUCUUGCUGACGAGUGGCGGACGGGUGAGUAAUGUCUGGGAAACUGCCUGAUGGAGGGGGGAUAACUACUGGAAACGGUAGCUAAUACCGCAUAACGUCGCAAGACCAAAGAGGGGGACCUUCGGGCCUCUUGCCAUCGGAUGUGCCCAGAUGGGAUUAGCUUGUUGGUGGGGUAACGGCUCACCAAGGCGACGAUCCCUAGCUGGUCUGAGAGGAUGACCAGCCACACUGGAACUGAGACACGGUCCAGACUCCUACGGGAGGCAGCAGUGGGGAAUAUUGCACAAUGGGCGCAAGCCUGAUGCAGCCAUGCCGCGUGUAUGAAGAAGGCCUUCGGGUUGUAAAGUACUUUCAGCGGGGAGGAAGGGAGUAAAGUUAAUACCUUUGCUCAUUGACGUUACCCGCAGAAGAAGCACCGGCUAACUCCGUGCCAGCAGCAGC
rnacentral:rRNA from 1 species